UGAACCAGUACCGUGAGGGAAAGGCGAAAAGAACCCCUGUGAGGGGAGUGAAAUAGAACCUGAAACCGUGUACGUACAAGCAGUAGGAGCACCUUCGUGGUGUGACUGCGUACCUUUUGUAUAAUGGGUCAGCGACUUAUAUUCAGUGGCAAGGUUAACCGUAUAGGGGAGCCGUAGCGAAAGCGAGUCUUAACUGGGCGCUCAGUCUCUGGAUAUAGACCCGAAACCGGGUGAUCUAGCCAUGGGCAGGUUGAAGGUUGAGUAACAUCAACUGGAGGACCGAACCGACUAAUGUUGAAAAAUUAGCGGAUGACUUGUGGCUAGGGGUGAAAGGCCAAUCAAACUCGGAGAUAGCUGGUUCUCCCCGAAAGCUAUUUAGGUAGCGCCUCGGACGAAUACUACUGGGGGUAGAGCACUGUUAAGGCUAGGGGGUCAUCCCGACUUACCAACCCUUUGCAAACUCCGAAUACCAGUAAGUACUAUCCGGGAGACACACGGCGGGUGCUAACGUCCGUCGUGGAGA
rnacentral:rRNA from 1 species